CCCUUAGAUGUUCUGGGCCGCACGCGCGCUACACUGAUGCAUUCAACGAGUUUCUUCCUGGUCCGAGAGGAAUGGGUAAUCUUUUGAAAGUGCAUCGUGAUAGGGAUAGACUAUUGCAAUUAUUGGUCUUCAACGAGGAAUUCCUAGUAGACGUAGUUCAUCAGACUGCAUCGAUUACGUCCCUGCCCUUUGUACACACCGCCCGUCGCUCCUACCGAUUGAAUGCUCAGGUGAGCCAUUCGGACCUUCAUCAUGCCGGUUUCCGGUUUUGAUGAGGGAAAGUCUUGCGAACCUUAUCAUUUAGAGGAAGGAGAAGUCGUAACA
rnacentral:rRNA from 1 species